rnacentral:rRNA from 1 species
AUUGAACGCUGGCGGCAUGCCUAACACAUGCAAGUCGAGCGGAGCGGCGGACGGGUGGGUAAUGCCUAGGAAUCUGCCUUGUAGUGGGGGAUAACGUCCGGCAACGGACGCUAAUACCGCCUCCUCUCAGCUGACCCUAGGUCGUAUUAGCUAGUUGGUGGGGUAAAGGCCUACGAUGGCGACGAUCCGUAACGGGUCUGAGUGGAUGAUCAGACACACUGGAACUGAGACACGGUCCAGACUCCUACGGGAGGCAGCAGUGGGGAAUAUGGGACAAUGGGCGAAAGCCUGAUCCAGCCAUGCCGCGUGUGUGAAGAAGGUCUUCGGAUUGUAAAGCACGUUAAGUUGGGAGGCGUUACCAACAGAAUAAGCACCGGCUAACUUCGUGCCAGCCGCCGCGGUAAUAC